AUACGGAGGAUACGAGCGUUAUCCGGAUUUAUUGGGUUUAAAGGGUGCGCAGGCGGACCGUUAAGUCAGGGGUGAAAAGUUGGGGCUCAACUCCAAUCGUGCCUUUGAUACUGGCGGACUAGAGUGCAGGGGACGUGACUGGAAUGUGAUGUGUAGCGGUGAAAUGCUUAGAUAUGUCACAGAACGCCGAUCGUGAAGACAGGUCACGAAUCUGCAACUGACGCUCAUGCACGAAAGCGUGGGGAUCAAACAGGAUUAGAUACCCUGGUAGUCCACGCUGUAAACGAUGAUCACUCGUUGUUGGCCGGCGACGGUCAGUGGCUAAGCGAAAGCGAUAAGUGAUCCACCUGGGGAGUACGAUCGCAAGGUUGAAACUCAAAUGAAUUGGCGGGG
rnacentral:rRNA from 1 species